rnacentral:rRNA from 1 species
AAAGAAAUCAGUUCAGCACUAAGUCACUUUGUCUUUAUGGCAAAUGUGAGAUGCAGUGUAUGGAACAUCAAUAUUCUAGUAUGAGAAAUUGACGAUUUAAGUCCUUCUUAAAUGAGGCCAUUUACCCAUAGAGGGUGCCAGGCCCGUAUAACGUUAAUGAUUACUAGAUGGUGUUUCCAAAGAGUCGUGUUGCUUGAUAGUGCAGCACUAAGUGGGUGGUAAACUCCAUCUAAAACUAAAUAUAACCAUGAGACCGAUAGUAAACAAGUACCGUGAGGGAAAGUUGAAAAGAACUCUGAAUAGAGAGUUAAAUAGUACGUGAAACUGCUUAGAGGUUAAGCCCGAUGAACCUGAAUAUCCGUUAUGGAAAAUUCAUCAUUAGAGUUGUAAUAUUUAAACAAUAUUAUAAUAAUAGUGUGCAUUUUUUCCAUAUAAGGACAUUGUAAUCUAUUAGCAUUAAAAAUUUAUCAUAAAAUAUGGCUUAUAGUUUAUUUAAAUUAUUAUGCUUGCAUUUUAACAUAAAAUAAAUGUCAUUAAUUUGAUAAAGUGUUGAUAGACUUAUAUGACUACAGUGCGUUAUUUAUUCGUAAAUAUAUAAUGGCAUGAUUAUCAAUGAUUUUUGUGUUUAUUAUAAGCGCUUGUACGAUUAA